UAGAGACACUCCUCCCAACCAGCAGCCCCAAAAAUGUGACUUAAGCAAGUCAUACGACGUUCACUAUCUGGGAAACAUCCGGAGUAGGUUGGCACCCACCCAACCACCCAGGUCUGCAACUAGAGGACAUCCCAAUAUCAAUAACUGGUACCUGAAAUAAGAAAGGUCAUCGCCAGCAGUCCUUGCAGCACAACUGUUGCAGCUCUCCAUCUCAAUGCGACACCCUCCAUGGUCUGAAGCCGAGAGGCUCUCUGAGCCAAAGAACCAAUUUCCUGAUGAGUCGUGGAGGAAAAGGAAAAGGAGUCCACGAACUGACUUCCAGUCUCCAAACCUGCCUGGAGGAGAUGCUUUUAGGAUUUCCAGUUCCUUCUGCCCAUUUCGUCCGUUUUCAGACAAAUCUCGCUGUGAACUGUAAGGUGGAGGAUGGGAGGAACUGUCAAAAACAGCUUGCUGCUCAAAACCUCCCUUACCUCUCCCUGGCUCAGUGCCCUGUGCUGGGGAACCGCCCACCAGGCCUAAAUCCAGCUUUGACAACGGACUUCAGCCAACAGACUAUGAAAACAAGACUUGUUAGAGGCGAAACGUUUCUGCCCAGAAAAGUGAAGAAAAUGUGCAUGCACACAGCUGGUAUUUAGAUAUAACUGUGUUGGCUGAGGAUCAAUAAACUUUGUUGGAAUCCUUGGAA